GACGAACGCUUGCGGCGUGCUUAACACAUGCAAGUCGAACGGAAAGGCCCUGCUUUUGUGGGGUGCUCGAGUGGCGAACGGGUGAGUAACACGUGAGUAACCUGCCCUUGACUUUGGGAUAACUUCAGGAAACUGGGGCUAAUACCGGAUAGGAGCUCCUGCUGCAUGGUGGGGGUUGGAAAGUUUCGGCGGUUGGGGAUGGACUCGCGGCUUAUCAGCUUGUUGGUGGGGUAGUGGCUUACCAAGGCUUUGACGGGUAGCCGGCCUGAGAGGGUGACCGGCCACAUUGGGACUGAGAUACGGCCCAGACUCCUACGGGAGGCAGCAGUGGGGAAUAUUGCACAAUGGGCGGAAGCCUGAUGCAGCAACGCCGCGUGCGGGAUGACGGCCUUCGGGUUGUAAACCGCUUUCGCCUGUGACGAAGCGUGAGUGACGGUAAUGGGUAAAGAAGCACCGGCUAACUACGUGCCAGCAGCCGCGGUGAUACGUAGGGUGCGAGCGUUGUCCGGAUUUAUUGGGCGUAAAGGGCUCGUUGGUGGUUGAUCGCGUCGGAAGUGUAAUCUUGGGGCUUAACCCUGAGCGUGCUUUCGAUACGGGUUGACUUGAGGAAGGUAGGGGAGAAUGGAAUUCCUGGUGGAGCGGUGGAAUGCGCAGAUAUCAGGAGGAACACCAGUGGCGAAGGCGGUUCUCUGGGCCUUUCCUGACGCUGAGGAGCGAAAGCGUGGGGAGCGAACAGGCUUAGAUACCCUGGUAGUCCACGCUGUAAACGGUGGGUACUAGGUGUGGGGUCCAUUCCACGGGUUCCGUGCCGUAGCUAACGCUUUAAGUACCCCGCCUGGGGAGUACGGCCGCAAGGCUAAAACUCAAAGGAAUUGACGGGGCCCCGCACAAGCGGCGGAGCAUGCGGAUUAAUUCGAUGCAACGCGUAGAACCUUACCUGGGUUUGACAUGGAUCGGGAGUGCUCAGAGAUGGGUGUGCCUCUUUUGGGGUCGGUUCACAGGUGGUGCAUGGCUGUCGUCAGCUCGUGUCGUGAGAUGUUGGGUUAAGUCCCGCAACGAGCGCAACCCUUGUUCACUGUUGCCAGCACGUUAUGGUGGGGACUCAGUGGAGACCGCCGGGGUCAACUCGGAGGAAGGUGGGGAUGACGUCAAGUCAUCAUGCCCCUUAUGUCCAGGGCUUCACGCAUGCUACAAUGGCUGGUACAGAGAGUGGCGAGCCUGUGAGGGUGAGCGAAUCUCGGAAAGCCGGUCUCAGUUCGGAUUGGGGUCUGCAACUCGACCUCAUGAAGUCGGAGUCGCUAGUAAUCGCAGAUCAGCAACGCUGCGGUGAAUACGUUCCCGGGGCU
rnacentral:rRNA from 1 species